UCCUCCUCUUCAUCUGUGCUUCCUCCCGCAUCCUCCUCUCCAUCUCCGCUUCCUGCAUCUCCCUCAAUUUCUAUGGCGUACACCUCGGAUGUCCCAAACAAAAAAGGACAAGGAAAGAAUGCCAAAAACACCGUACACAGAAGAUUUUCAAAUAUGAAGAGAUAGUAGACAGGAGAGUUGUAAAUG